UCCACACGACUUGAUGCCUACCUCAGGAC
rnacentral:piRNA from 1 species